GAUGAAGAACGCAGCAAAAUGCGAUAAGUAAUGUGAAUUGCAGAAUUCAGUGAAUCAUCGAAUCUUUGAACGCACAUUGCGCCCGCCAGUACUCUGGCGGGCAUGCCUGUCCGAGCGUCAUUUCAACCCUCAGGGCCCUCCAGCAGGGCGCUGGUGUUGGGGAUCGGCAGUCCCAGCGGCUGCCGUCCCUGAAAUGUAGUGGCGGUCCCACCGUGACCUCCCCUGUGCAGUACAUCGCUAGCAGAGGGACAGCGGUGCGGCCACGCCGUAAAACGCCCAACUCUUCAAGGUUGACCUCGGAUCAGGUAGGACUACCCGCUGAACUUAAGCAUAUCAAUAAGCGGAGGA
rnacentral:misc_RNA from 1 species